GAUGAACGCUGGCGGCGUGCCUAAUACAUGCAAGUCGAGCGAACGGACGAGAAGCUUGCUUCUCUGAUGUUAGCGGCGGACGGGUGAGUAACACGUGGAUAACCUACCUAUAAGACUGGGAUAACUUCGGGAAACCGGAGCUAAUACCGGAUAAUAUUUUGAACCGCAUGGUUCAAAAGUGAAAGACGGCCUUGCUGUCACUUAUAGAUGGAUCCGCGCUGCAUUAGCUAGUUGGUAAGGUAACGGCUUACCAAGGCAACGAUGCAUAGCCGACCUGAGAGGGUGAUCGGCCACACUGGAACUGAGACACGGUCCAGACUCCUACGGGAGGCAGCAGUAGGGAAUCUUCCGCAAUGGGCGAAAGCCUGACGGAGCAACGCCGCGUGAGUGAUGAAGGUCUUCGGAUCGUAAAACUCUGUUAUUAGGGAAGAACAUAUGUGUAAGUAACUGUGCACAUCUUGACGGUACCUAAUCAGAAAGCCACGGCUAACUACAUG
rnacentral:rRNA from 1 species